GCUAAAAUGGCAGAUAGAUGUGUAAGAUUUAGGAUCUUUUUAGGAAAUAUUAUUUCUUUUAGUA
rnacentral:tRNA from 1 species